rnacentral:rRNA from 1 species
UACGUAGGGGGCUAGCGUUGUCCGGAUUUAUUGGGCGUAAAGAGCGUGUAGGCGGCCAGAUAGGUCUGCUGUGAAAACUCGAGGCUCAACCUCGAGAUGUCGGCGGAAACCAUUUGGCUAGAGUCCGGAAGAGGAAAGUGGAAUUCCUGGUGUAGCGGUGAAAUGCGCAGAUAUCAGGAAGAACACCCGUGGCGAAGGCGGCUUUCUGGGACGGUACUGACGCUGAGACGUGAAAGCGUGGGGAGCGAACAGG